rnacentral:lncRNA from 1 species
ACGAACUCUUGCAGAAUAUUUUACAGUAUCAGGGAGGAGAUAAAUGAAGCAGUAGACAGUAGGAAUGUGGGAUCAAAAACAUUUUUUAAACAUGAAAUCUUACUGUAGGUAUUCUAAAAGGGAAUGAUCCAGAAGAAAGUAGAAAACUGAUGAUGUCAGAGAAACAACAAUUUACGAAGACAAAGUCUUUGAGACUGUGAAAGGAGAUGGAAUCCACACACAAGGAAGGGGUGACUGGCCAUAAGGGCAAAGACAGUGCAUCCACUGUAUAAGAAAAAGGUGAGCACAUGGACAAAAAUGAAGAAUAGAAAAGAACAGAAAAAUAAAAUGCACUGCAUACAAUAAGAAGAGAAUCACCCCCACCCCAACAAUGAAAGGAGAUGAAAUAAACCAGGAGUUGCAAAGACCAGCGGAGAUAGUUACAUAGCAGCCUGGAAAAGAGAAAAAAAAAAUAAAGAACAAAAAGAGGCGUCUACGGCACCAGACGGUGUGCUCCUUUGUGCACCUAUGUUCAGGUAUCCCUUGCGCACCAGUCCCACACUUCGCUGGUACACAUACCUACUGAUAAAAAUUAACUGUAAAAGUCAGAAACUCCCACGGUACCUUUCCUUUGGGCUUCUCAAAAAUUUUAAGUGAUGAACUGCUCUAGAGCUCCGCCCCUUCUUUCCUUACCCUAAAAGUGCAACUUCUGCUCUAGAGAGAAACUUUCUUUUCCCCGAACACCCGUUUUAUCCCAUCCCCAGGGGAAACGGGGGGAGGGGUUAAGAAAGAGGUCGCCUGGGGGCGCCCAACUCUGCCCUGCCACCCCUGGGCCACAGCCAUGCCGG